GACGAACGCUGGCGGCGUGCUUAACACAUGCAAGUCGAACGGAAAGGCCCUGCUUUUGUGGGGUGCUCGAGUGGCGAACGGGUGAGUAACACGUGAGUAACCUGCCCUUGACUUUGGGAUAACUUCAGGAAACUGGGGCUAAUACCGGAUAGGAGCUCCUGCUGCAUGGUGGGGGUUGGAAAGUUUCGGCGGUUGGGGAUGGACUCGCGGCUUAUCAGCUUGUUGGUGGGGUAGUGGCUUACCAAGGCUUUGACGGGUAGCCGGCCUGAGAGGGUGACCGGCCACAUGGGGACUGAGAUACGGCACAGACUCCUACGGGAGGCAGCAGUGGGGAAUAUUGCACAAUGGGCGGAAGCCUGAUGCAGCAACGCCGCGUGCGGGAUGACGGCCUUCGGGUUGUAACCCGCUUUCGCCUGUGACGAAGCGUGAGUGACGGUAAUGGGUAAAGAAGCACCGGCUAACUACGUG
rnacentral:rRNA from 1 species